GCUGUCACUGUAGAAGUUCGGUUGUGUGUGUAAAAAAACGUAAACAGUGUUGUUUGCUGAUCAAUUUUGGUAAGUUUUUUAAUAAUUAAGUUCUUAAUUUUACGUAAGUAAGUGUAAUUUUAGCAAAAGUAAGUAGUUGAAGUCCUCCCCAAUGCGUGCUGGCUCCGUCGGAAGCGUUACGUACAUGUACCGGCGUAGGAAAGUGGUGUGGUGAACAACACAGCACAAGACAGCGGAUAUAAUGCAGGAACGAUAUGGGCCUGCGGCAGGUGUUUGCAACUGUGCGCUGUGUAUGAUUGUGUAUGAUACGCCAAUUUUCCUCUAUCCUGGAACGUGGGCUUACGAGGAACCGUUCAAGAAGAUCCUCCGGAAGCUGUACGGCGACGUGUCGGGCUCUACCAGCACAACACGCUAGAGGCCCAGCCGGCACCGGGUGCCCCGAUUGCGUCAGACGGUGUCGAGCGCGCUCGUUAACAACGUUCGGGGCAGGAAUUCAAUCCUUCGGAUCAUUAUCCUCUGCCUCUCAAUAGCUGCAGCAGCAACAGGACCGAACCGACCGCACUACUGAUUGCGGUCAAAUACUGAUUGCGGUCCUGGCAGGAGAAAAAAUCCCACAAGUGUAUCGAACAGGCUACGGACGGACCCCGAAAAGGCCAUUCAUUCCCAACGGCCUAAGAUGUUUUUAGUGUUCAGUGGUGUGCGCGACCGUCAAAGUGUUAACAUUAAAUAUUUGAAUUAACAAGAUAACACUGUUAUGGUUAUGUCGUGUAGAUGUGCGCAAGUGGGUUAAGAUUAGACUUAAGUACGCUUUAAGGCAUCAAUCGAUAUGCCUAAUUUUAAGUUAAGUGUUUUGACAUGCCCGUGUGUGUCAAGGGGCGGAAUAAGCGCUAAGCAAACUAAGCGACCGCGUCGGGCCCCGUGGUCUUGAGGGGCCCCAAAAAAGGAACCCAUCCCCCGCUCGCAAGUUAAAUUGCUACUCAAUCCUUCUCUAGUUUAGAACAUUUCCCUGCUAGACGAUUAAACCAAACUUACAUUUGUGUGACUGCUUAGGGCCUCCACUCGUAUGUGCGGCUUUUACUCAUCAUUUAAGAUAAAUAAAUCUAGAUUAUAUUCUCAUAAA